UGGAAGUAAAAAAGUCGUAACAAGGUCUCCGUUGGUGAACCAGCGGAGGGAUCAUUACUGAGUUACCGCUCUAUAACCCUUUGUGAACAUACCUAUACGUUGCUUCGGCGGCCGUCCCCCGGGGCGUCCGCCGGAGGAUAACCAAACUCUGAUUUAACGACGUUUCUUCUGAGUGGCACAAGCAAAUAAUCAAAACUUUUAACAACGGAUCUCUUGGUUCUGGCAUCGAUGAAGAACGCAGCGAAAUGCGAUAAGUAAUGUGAAUUGCAGAAUUCAGUGAAUCAUCGAAUCUUUGAACGCACAUUGCGCCCGCCAGCAUUCUGGCGGGCAUGCCUGUUCGAGCGUCAUUUCAACCCUCAAGCACUGCUUGGUGUUGGGGCUCUACGGUUGACGUAGGCCCCCAAAACUAGUGGCGGACCCUCUCGGAGCCUCCUUUGCGUAGUAACUUUUGUCUCGCACUGGGAUUCGGAGGGACUCUAGCCGUUAAACCCCCCAAUUUUUUAAAGGU
rnacentral:rRNA from 1 species